GAUGAACGCUGGCGGCGUGCCUAAUACAUGCAAGUCGAGCGAACUCUCGGUAGGAUGUUGCCAAUAGGUAUCGCGGGAGGCGUGAGUAAGACGUGGGUAACCGGCCCGUAUGACUCGGGUAACAUAGCGAAACCAGAGCUAAUAUAGGAUAACAUUCAACACAACAUGGACUUCAAUUAAAAUGUGGACUUUGGCUACCACUUACAGAUGGACCCGGGGCGCAUUAGCUAGUUGGUGAGGUAACGGCUCACCAAGGCGACGAUGCGUAGCCGACCUGAGAGGGUGAUCGGCCACACUGGAACUGGGACACGGUCCAGCCUCCUACGGGAGGCAGCGUUGGGGAAUUUUCGCCAAUGGGCGAAAUCCUGAGGCAGCAAGCCCGCGUGGGUGAGGAAGGCCUUCGGUUGGUAAAGUCUUUUUUUUGGGAAAGAAAAGUAGCGUUCGAAUACGCCGGUGUCUUGACGGUACCUAAAGAGAAAGCCACGGCUAACUACGUG
rnacentral:rRNA from 1 species